UACGUAGGGGGCUAGCGUUGUCCGGAAUCAUUGGGCGUAAAGCGCGUGUAGGCGGUCCGGUAAGUCCGCUGUGAAAGUCGGGGGCUCAACCCUCGGAUGCCGGUGGAUACUGUCGGGCUUGAGUACGGAAGAGGCGAGUGGAAUUCCUGGUGUAGCGGUGAAAUGCGCAGAGUAUCAGGAGGAACACCAAUUGCGAAGGCAGCUCGCUGGGACGUUACUGACGCUGAGACGCGAAGCGUGGGAGCAACAGG
rnacentral:rRNA from 1 species